rnacentral:rRNA from 1 species
AGAGUUUGAUCCUGGCUCAGGAUGAACGCUAGCGGCAGGCUUAACACAUGCAAGUCGAGGGGCAGCAUAAUGGAUAGCAAUAUCUAUGGUGGCGACCGGCGCACGGGUGCGUAACGCGUAUGCAACCUACCUUUAACAGGGGGAUAACACUGAGAAAUUGGUACUAAUACCCCAUAAUAUCAUAGAAGGCAUCUUUUAUGGUUGAAAAUUCCGAUGGUUAGAGAUGGGCAUGCGUUGUAUUAGCUAGUUGGUGGGGUAACGGCUCACCAAGGCGACGAUACAUAGGGGGACUGAGAGGUUAACCCCCCACAUUGGUACUGAGACACGGACCAAACUCCUACGGGAGGCAGCAGUGAGGAAUAUUGGUCAAUGGACGCAAGUCUGAACCAGCCAUGCCGCGUGCAGGAUGACGGCUCUAUGAGUUGUAAACUGCUUUUGUACGAGGGUAAACGCAGAUACGUGUAUCUGUCUGAAAGUAUCGUACGAAUAAGGAUCGGCUAACUCCGUGCCAGCAGCCGCGGUAAUACGGAGGAUCCAAGCGUUAUCCGGAUUUAUUGGGUUUAAAGGGUGCGUAGGCGGUUUGAUAAGUUAGAGGUGAAAUUUCGGGGCUCAACCCUGAACGUGCCUCUAAUACUGUUGAGCUAGAGAGUAGUUGCGGUAGGCGGAAUGUAUGGUGUAGCGGUGAAAUGCUUAGAGAUCAUACAGAACACCGAUUGCGAAGGCAGCUUACCAAACUAUAUCUGACGUUGAGGCACGAAAGCGUGGGGAGCAAACAGGAUUAGAUACCCUGGUAGUCCACGCAGUAAACGAUGAUAACUCGUUGUCGGCGAUACACAGUCGGUGACUAAGCGAAAGCGAUAAGUUAUCCACCUGGGGAGUACGUUCGCAAGAAUGAAACUCAAAGGAAUUGACGGGGGCCCGCACAAGCGGAGGAACAUGUG